AGCUGGUUAAAGGUUUGGUUAGAGAUGGACUCUUUGAGGGAACGGGAAAUAGUUAAGGUUUGAGUUGGAUAUUCCCAGACAUUGCUGGGAUAUAUGCCUCCCGUAACUGACUGACCCCAGACCGGGUCGGCGGGGUUGUCCAUAUGUAUGGCUCGGGAGGAGGCGUUGUUUUUAAUGGUAUAAUAUAGGAAGGGGGUGUGUUUGUUGAUGUGGGAGCCAGACGGCGAAGUGGAACAUGUGGAAGAGAGGGUCCCAGCCGUUUUCUAUCAUAGUGAGAAUAGGGCUGGGAAGAGGGCCCGCCGGCGGAGGAAAGUGUAAAGAUGUGAGAGGCGGAAAGCCAGAGAAGAGGACUUAGGAGAUGCAUGAGAGCGGGGCGUAAGCAGUUUGGUUCUUCGUGUGGUCCAGGUUGGUAGCCGGUUUCAACUGGUUGAGCGGCGACCGGAAGAUGAAGUGGAGGGUGGUGGUACUGGGGGGGUUCAUCGGCCGGAUCAAAGUAGGGAGCAGAAGGAGAGGUUGGUAGCUUGAGAGCAGCGAUAAGGUGUUGCGGCUUGCAAGGGAGGCAGAGGUUGGGUUUGUCCCGUAGAGGAAAGAAGCCAUGAACGUAGGGGAUCUCUGCCCAUUUUCCUGUUGGCUCACAAUAGUUGUAGAGAUCCCAGAGAAGGUUGGGAUCAAAGGACCCAUAAGUGGGCCAUCUGUUUUGGUUGUCUAGGGGGCAGGUGGGCCAGUUUUGAGUGCAAAAUUUAAUCAGGCGUGUAGGUUUGAGAUCAGCAGCCAAACCAAGGGCUGAUAAGUUAUCUAAAAGGCAUUGUAAGGGAGAGUCAGCUGGCAGGGAUGCAGAGGCUCCCAUUGCGGAAGGGAAGGUUUGCGGAAAUGUAUGGCAAAGAGCUGAGUAGGGCGUCCCCUAUCAGAUUACCAUGUCGUGAGUCAGAACUCUCGAGUUGGUCGUCAUCAAAACUAAAGGACUGAGAGGCCUGUAAAGGCCGAGGGCCGUGGGCCACCUGGUACCAGGUUUUCGGAGCGAGAAGGGGAAGGGACCUAGGCCUGGUGAGCGAGAAGGAGGAGGAAAGAGCCCUGUUCCCCGUGGGCCGAGUCUGGAAUAAGUUUAUGGUGGCCUCGCGGGCGGCUGGGAUAGGCAUCGGCCGACUAAUGUCGGAUACCGGAAGGGGAAACUUACCGAGAUGAGGCUGGUGUUGGGUGGAGAGGUCGGCGAACAGGAAAAUGAGCGAAGACCGGCUGGGGUCUGGACUGAGCCCGAAAGGGAUCGGGGUCCCACCGAGGGGGGUGGGGAGUCCCGAUCCGAGUCAUGGCACCAAUGAAAGAGUAAAGGCAGACCCAGAGCACGCCAAACGCAGUCAAGAGAUCUUUAUUGGAGGUAUCAAGCGGAGAAGGAAGAGAAGAGAGAGAAGAGAAGGAAGAGAAGAGAGAGAGGGCUGCUGGUGUGCUGGGUUUUAUAUCCCUUGAGCCUACAUGGAUUGGGCUAGGGGCGGGCCCAAGGGAAGGCGGGAGAUGCUUCUUUCUGAUUGGCCCUCUUUUGGCGGGUUCAGGCAGUGCCCGGUCAAGGAGGGGAGAAGAACCCGGAACCGGCCCCAUCUUAAGAAGUGCCUUUUGCCUCCCACCAUGAUUCCGAGGCUAUCCCAGCCACGUGGAACUGUAAGUCCAAUUAAACCUCUUUUUCUUCCCCAGUCUCCGGUAUGUCUUUAUCAGCAGUGUGAAAAUGGACUAAUAGAACUUCUAUGCAGAAAUAUAAAAUGUAACUUCUUAACAUAAGGUCCUAGUUGCAAGGGUCUAUGGAGGUGCUUCAGGAGAUCCAAGCCUUUUUAGAAUCUAUGUGCAAACUUCCGUGUAUGUUUUUUGGAGGAAAAGUCCAUAAAUUUCAAAUUUUCAAAAAUCAGAUUUUCAAAAGGAUUUAUUGAUUUCUGAAAAUUAGCAAAGAUCUGCUUUUAUAAAGAGCAAAUAGAUGGAUAGAUAUAGGAGAAGAUGCUUGACUUGAUGAGUAAGAGAAAGGACAUAUAGAAAAUUAACUGAACAUAAGCAAGUAUUUUAUUGAAGAUAUACUAUUUUAAAUAACAUUUAAACACGGAAUGAUUGGCAAUAAACUGCAAAAUAAGUAAUUUGGUAUCAUUUUAAAAUGGUUAUUAUCAGAGAUUUUCCUUUUAUUAAACAGUCGUUAUUCAUUAAUUCCACAAAUAUUUAUCAGGCUUCUAUUAUAUGUGAGGCACUGAGCUGGGCAUUGCUGUAAAGGAACCAUCUAAGGAAGUAAUUAUGCAGUCAUUUCUGAAUCUGUUUCAGAAAAGUCAAUCAGUGUUGGGUUUAUCAAUGUUUAACAUUGUUUGAUAGUCCCCUCACUUCUUGAAGAAAUUGUUUUUUUUCACCUCACUACUUGUAGUGUGUAAAAAUGAAUCUAUAUUUCUGAGGAAAAAGUGUUUGAAAUGUCCAGCAGCAAGACUGAUAUUAGUAGUAGAAUAUAUGCAAUUAAACAUUCUUAUGGUAAAAAUAUGUCCAUUGUUUAGUGGUUGUCAGAAAAUAAAAUUCCUGCAAAAUUAAAAUUAGGAAUUUAACUAGGAAGAAUAUCUAAAGACCCUUUAAAAAUAGAUCAGUGUAUUUGGUAUUUCAAGUAGGUUUAUGACAUCAGGCUCAUUUAUAAAUUUAUAUAAAAUCGCAAUACUUAAUCCAGUCAUGCACAGUGACAGGUAAUGGGAGUCAUGUUUUUAAGGAGUCUUGAAAAGGCCUCUAACAUGAUGAGUUUAAAAAGUAAUUCUCCUACAUACUUGUCUCAAACUUUGCUACAGGGCAGUCAGUGGUGGUCAGCAGACCACUGGUCUGGGAGUGUUGAAAUUAGGCCUUCUUAUACUUGCUCUUAUGCAGAGUUCAUGUAUUUGGCAGACCUUCAGUGGUGGACAUCUCUACCCUCAGUACAAUUUCUGGUGACUAAGGAGGGGAAGUUGUUUGAGCUGGCUGAUGUUUUGGGGUCCAAAAUUACAUAGGGCUAAAGGAAUAACGUUUCUUACGUGGUUUUUAAAAUAAUAGUGAUUCUGGAAGUGGAGUUUCAAAAUUAUUUUAAGCAAUGGAAAUAAGGGAGCAUGCAUCACUUAGCUAAGUUGAUUACUUUAAUAAUACUUGAGUGUACAUAUGACUUACUGUCAUACCUUAUGUAUAUCUGUUGUAACAUUUAUUCACAUAGUAUUCAUUCAUAUUACUGAGUGCCUACCUUGUGCCAGGCACUGCUCUAGGUGCCAAGAUAGAGCUGUGAACAAAACAGACAAAAUAGACAAAAAUCUUUCCUCAUAAAUUUUACAUUCUAAUGUGAGAGAAGCAGUCUGACAAUUCUAAGUACUUAACUUAUAAAAAUAAAACAAAUGGCGAUUCAUUUAUUGGCUCCUCAAAAUGGAACAUUAUCUUGUCUAUUACAAAAUAUAUAGGUUCAUUGAUCUUCAAUUCUUUAGAAUAUAGAUAGCUUGUGACAAAAUCUAUGAUAAAAUAUAUGGCAUAACUAUAUUAUUAUUCUAUUUUCUAAUUUUAUCUAUGAUUAUAGAUAAGUAAAGGAAGAAAUCUUAAAUUUCUCGAAUAUCCAGACAGACAUAUAUCAUGCAGUCGAAGUAGUUGUUUGCCCUUAGUUUCUCUUAACAAUUUAAUAUUUAGAAUGCCUGGUAGGUCUAUUAAUCGUUUUUAGAAAGUCAUCUUGGUUGAAGUUUUUCCACACUAUUUUUGAUAACAAGGUUCUUGCAUAAUCCAAUCACAUGCUUCUUAAUGCAUAAUAUUCAUUAGCUGCUUUAACUUGCAUUAUGACUAUCCAGUUAGUAUCUUGUGCAUUGAUAAUCUUUUUAAUAAAAAGAAUAUUUCUGGACUGUAAAAAAUAUUCUUAGUUAUACCCAAAAUAAUUGAUUUCAAACUUUGAAGGAGGAGUGUAGGUCAAAGGCAUAGUUUUAAUAAAUUGCCAAAAAAUA